rnacentral:rRNA from 1 species
GACGAACGCUGGCGGCGUGCCUAAUACAUGCAAGUAGAACGCUGAAGGAGGAGCUUGCUUCUCUGGAUGAGUUGCGAACGGGUGAGUAACGCGUAGGUAACCUGCCUGGUAGCGGGGGAUAACUAUUGGAAACGAUAGCUAAUACCGCAUAAUAGUAGAUGUUGCAUGACAUUUACUUAAAAGGUGCAAUUGCAUCACUACCAGAUGGACCUGCGUUGUAUUAGCUAGUUGGUGGGGUAACGGCUCACCAAGGCGACGAUACAUAGCCGACCUGAGAGGGUGAUCGGCCACACUGGGACUGAGACACGGCCCAGACUCCUACGGGAGGCAGCAGUAGGGAAUCUUCGGCAAUGGACGAAAGUCUGACCGAGCAACGCCGCGGGAGUGAAGAAGGUUUUCGGAUCGUAAAGCUCUGUUGUAAGAGAAGAACGAGUGUGAGAGUGGAAAGUUCACACUGUGACGGUAUCUUACCAGAAAGAGACGGCUAACUACGUG